AGUGUAGUCUUGUGUCUAAGCUGGUGUCUGGCCACCAAAGGCAGGCGUGCAGGGCCUUGGCUACUGCGCUAGGUCUGCUGAUGGCCACAAGCCUUUAGUCCCAGCUCUGCCUUAGCAAUGGGGGUGUCUGAAGGCUCAGGGGAUACACAGGUCCUCUAGGUUCCUGGGGAGAUGAUGGAAAGAAGCUUGCAAUAACUAAUUAGCAGCUCCGGCCACUGGAGAAAGCUCAAUGCCUUGAGAAAAGCAAAUGCACCGGAGAAACAAGUUAGAUAGAGCUGAAUUAAAGAGUGAGAGUUUCGACCAGGAGUGGAUACUGAGGAGAGCAAAGAUCACCUGGUGCUCAUCAAGCCGGACUUCCAGAGGCAAAGCUCCUUAACUGAAGAAUUCAGAAUCUAUCAUUGAUGGGCAUUUAGGUUGGUUCCAUGUCUUUGCUAUUGUGAAUAGUACUGCAAUGAACAUAUGCACGUCUUUGAGGAAUCACCACCAUGGAAUACUAUGCAGCCAUAAAAAAGAAAGAUAACAUGUCCUUCACAGGGACAUAGAUGGAGCUGGAGGCCAUUCUCCUUAGCAAACUAAACUAUGUAACAAACCUAUACUUGUACCCCAGAACUUAAAAUAAAAGUUUAAAAAA
rnacentral:lncRNA from 1 species